UGUGCAAAGGUAGCAUAAUCAUUUGGCUUAUAAUUGAAGUCUAGCAUGAAAGGAUUCAUGGGAGAUAGCUGUCUUUUAGAGUUUAUUUGAAAUUACUUAACAAGUGAAAAUACUUGUAAAUAAACAAUAGACGAGAAGACCCUAGAAAUUUUAUAUAAAUCAGCAGUUAUUGGUGUUAUUAUUUUGUUGGGGCGACAGAAUAACAAGAAACUUAUUUUAUAAAAUUAGAACUAUGUGUUGAGUUAAAAUAAAUUACUCUAGGGAUAACAGCAUAAUCUAUUAGAGUUUGUGACCUCGAUGUUGGACUAGGGAUUUUAGCGUUUAGAAGACACUAAAACACGCUCUGUUCGAGCGGUAGCCCCUACAUGAUCUGAGUUCAAAUCG
rnacentral:rRNA from 1 species